rnacentral:rRNA from 1 species
CAGCAGCCACGGUAAUACAGAGGUCUCAAGCGUUGUUCGGAUUUAUUGGGCGUAAAGGGUGCGUAGGUGGCUUGGUAAGUUGAAGGUGAAAUCUCGGGGCUUAACUCCGAAACUGCCUUCAAUACUGCUGAGCUCGAGGAUUGUAGAGGAGAAUGGAAUUCACGGUGUAGCAGUGAAAUGCGUAGAUAUCGUGAGGAAGACCAGUGGCGAAGGCGAUUCUCUGGGCAAUUCCUGACACUGAGGCACGAAGGCCAGGGGAGCAAACGGGAUUAGAUACCCGCGUAGUCCCUGUCUCUUAUAC